AUUUUCCACCUGGUUAAAGACAGGAAUGCAUUCCCCAUCGUGAUGGAUCCAGGGAUGCAUCCCUAAUUGCCGCGCCACAAUUUUUCAGAUGAUUCAUGGACGUUUAUCAUUAUUUAAUAACUCUUUGAGAUAAGCCUGCCAGACUCAAUCACCAGAUAAAAUUCAAAAUGAUAUAAAUAAAAUAAGAAAGCGACAAGGUUUCUUGACCCAUUCCUAUGCCUAAUUUAACUGUAGAUUAUGGUGAUACCAUUACAAAAGAACAUUCUGUCAAGAAGAGAAAGCAAGUACGGGGAAGACAACUUUGCCCUUUGAGACGCACGGGAGUUGCUUUCUGACUUUGAUGGUGAGAAGGCUACCAAUGCCCUAGCAUUAUUGCUUGCCCGUUUGCAACAAGUCCCUCUUUUCUUCUUCGAAUUCAAGAGAAUUACCACUUGCAAAUUGCUCUUUUCUUCUCCGAAUUCAAGAGAAUUACGGCUUGCAAAUUACAACUAUGAAGAUUGAUAAGAAAAAGAUUAGGAAAACUCCACCGACCAAUGAACCCAUCACCCAGGAAUCACCAUUACUCCCCAAAAGAAGAGAAGGCAGGCAAGAAAUCCAAAAUGAAGCUUCUUUUGUUGGUGCAGUGUUUAAUCUUUCGACGACUAUUAUUGGUGCUGGUAUCAUGGCAUUACCUGCCACCAUGAAGGUACUGGGACUUGGCCUUGGAAUUCUUAUGAUUGUGUUGAUUGCAGUCCUCACAGAGCGUUCUGUGGAGAUUUUGUUGAGGUAUAGCAAGGCUGGGAAAGUGGACUCUUAUGGCGGGGUAAUGGGGGAUGCUUUUGGGAAUGGAGGGAGAAGGCUGCUUCAGAUUUUUGUGCUGCUCAGCAAUGUUGGGAUCCUCAUAGUAUACAUGAUUAUAAUUGGUGUGUUCGUGCACCUAGUUCGUAUAUAAAUUCUGUUCAUUCUUCUGUUAAACAUGGUUUUGCAAUUGCUUUGGCAGGUUCCAGAUAAUUAUUAUGAAUAAUCGGUUGUUCCGCUUUACUGAUGUGUUUGCAUUUGCGUCCAUGUUUCUGUGUGGAUAACGCAUUAUUUAUACGAACUUGAACAUUUUUGUCAAGGUUUGAUAAUAUCAUGUGAACUAGGGUGCUCAACAUGUAAAGUUUUUGUGCUUGAAAGCAGAGCAAUUUGAAUCGCAAGCGGCUUCUCUUUACUAAUUAUUAGAUAUGCUAUUCAGAAAAAGAGGGAAAAUCAGUGAUUCUAAGGAUUCUGUCUACUUGUGCACUUACGCAUUUAUUGCUCAAGUACUUUGAUCUAAUUUAGUCUGUUAAGUAAACAAUAAACUAUUCAUGUUUGAUGAUUUUAGACUUUCAUUUCAAUCUAUAUCUCAGCUGUGAAGAACGUUCGUCAAGAUCUGAGAAUCUGGUGCUAAACUUAAUUAUUUGAUUUGACUGAUUUUCAUAGAACUAGUUGGAUGCAAGAAACCUGAUUUUAUUUCUUUAGUUUUUGAGAAGCUAAAUUGUAAGAUAUACCUUAACUUGAAGAACUGAAAUUUUACCAAGAUACGUUAUGUUGGAGGGACCAUGUCAAUGAACUUUAUUGCCUCUCUUCUUUCUAACAAUGAUUUUUUAUGAAACUCUUACCCAUUCCUGUUGUUUAGUAGUUUUCAUUGAUUCCUUUAAUUUGUUUAUAUGACAAGGUGAUGUAUUGUCUGGGACAACUUCAAGUGGAGUUUACCAUACUGGUAUAUUGGAAGAAUGGUUUGGAAUCCAUUGGUGGAAUGGCCGUACCUUUGUUCUUCUUUUUAUGACCCUCGCUGUGUUUGCUCCAUUGGCAUGCUUCAAGCGGAUAGGUUAGUAUCAAGUCAUGACUCAUUCUGAUUUUAUACCAGUCCUUAAGACCGACUUUCAAAAUGACCCCCUUCCAGAUACUUUCACACAACCACCUGGAGGUUAGUUACUUUCUGAUUAACAUGAUAUUCAAGGAAAAUAGAUUUAUUCUUUUCCCACAAUAUCAGAUAUCAUGUUCAUGUACAUUAAGUUCCUAUUGUAAUUCGGAUGAUCUUCUGGGGUGAUGGUGUGAUGCGUAUCAUGGUUGCAGCUAGAUAUUACAGAUCUGAGUAGACUAUUUUUUCCAAUUGCCUAGUGCUUUCCCCCAAUGUUAUUUAUCAUGUGGCAUAUGUUUGUCAGAGUUCAUUCAUCAAGACACGUGCUUUAAUUAUUAUUAUCAUCAUCAAUGGCCAUCAAGGAAUUCUGUUUAAUAGGAAUCAAUCUUUUCUAUUAAAUCUACAGUGCAGACCUCUAUGUUGUAGAUGACUGGUACUUUCUGAUGCUCACAGAUUCAUUGAGAUACACAUCCGCAUUGGCAAUUGCACUUGCAGUGGUUUUUCUCAUUAUUACUGCUGGAAUUACAGUGUUCAAAUUGAUUAAUGGAAGUGUUGCCAUGCCUAGGUUGCUCCCUAAUGUUACUGAUAACACAUCAUUCUGGAAUCUCUUCACCGUUGUCCCUGUUAUUGUGACAGCAUUUAUCUGUCAUUUCAAUGUUCAUACAAUUGACAAUGAGCUGGAAGACUCUUCUAUGAUACAGCCAGUUGUGCGGACUUCACUUGCUUUAUGCUCUACUGUCUAUAUAAUGACAAGCUUCUUUGGGUUCCUUCUAUUUGGCAACUCAACUCUAGAUGAUGUUUUGGCCAACUUCGACACCAACCUUGGUGUCCCUUACAGCUAUGGGCUUAACGAUGUUGUUCGCAUCAGCUAUGCUCUCCACCUCAUGCUUGUUUUCCCUGUGGUCUUUUAUCCAUUGCGCCAAAAUAUCGAUGGUCUUCUUUUUCCUUCAGCCAGGCCUUUGGUUUCAGAUAACUGUAGGUUCACACUGCUCAGCAUAGCACUCAUUUCUUUCAUCUUCUUGGGUGCAAAUUUUGUACCCAGCAUUUGGGUUGCUUUCCAGUUCACUGGAGCAACUUCUGCUGUGUGCAUUGGAUUUAUCUUCCCAGCUGCCAUUGCCCUGAGGGAUCCCCAUUUGGUAGCAUCAAAGAUGGAUAAGAUAGUGUCUGUCUUCAUGAUUCUUCUUGCUCUAUUUUCGAGCUCAGUGGCUAUUUACAGUGAUGCUUAUGCCCUCUUCAGAAAGAAUCCCUCUCCACGCGAGUGAUUUUGUUUGUUUACUAAGAUUCUGAUGUGCAAAGCAAAUAAGUGAUGCUCAGCAGAGAAAAUAAGUUCCCCAAUAAAGGCUGGCUUAACAAGCUGAUGUGCAAAUAUAUAAUUUUAUGUAAUGCCUGUGUCCAUAAGCAUUGCUGUAA
rnacentral:misc_RNA from 1 species